rnacentral:lncRNA from 13 species
CCUAGUGGGGUGUUUUUUGGAAUUUUUGACUCCACGUUCCCCAUGAUGCGUGCGGCAAAGGGUUCCUGCCAGCCGAGGGCGGUCUCGGAACAGUAUCCGAGCUCGGAACAGUAUCCGAGUGGGCUGGGGUAGUGUGGGGGAGGCGUCCCUCCAGCCCACCAGCUUCCCCAGAGGAAGGUGGAUAGGAAAGACCAGAGAAGGCGUCCCCUGUCUGAUCGUUCCUAUUUAAUGGUUUUGGAUUGGGUGGGUCAGAGAAGGCGUCCCUUGUCUGCCGACCCAAGGCUCCUGGAGCCUGGUUGGGGGAUCCUGCUCAGGCCGGCCGGCGCUUGGCGAGGGAUCCGUGGAUUGGGACUGAGAGGAAGGGCCUUUGCCACACGCACCACGGAAGGAGAAGAAACAUCACUGUGGCUACCAUAUGGACAAUAUCUGGAGAGUUUCAAGGCAGGAAGAAGGGCGCUUACUAGACCAUUCUGGCUGCAAUUCAGAUGGAUGAUGGUGAUGGCUUGAAUAAAUGAGGAGGAGCAGGAAAGAUACAGAUGUGAGGAAACAGAUAACACGUAUGGAGACUUUAAGAAGAAAAAUGAAGAUG